UGUAUAAGCCUACCUGAUACAUAAGGUAUUUGCUAAUAAGGAGAUUUGUUGGGAUUUUCCUUUUUGCAUUCAUUGUUCGUGACGUAUUUUAUAAUCAACCAGUUUGAAGGAAGCAAACGCACUCCAAGAACUUAUAGUUUUCUCAUAAUUCAAACAAAUGAAAAGUAUUUAUUUACAUACUUUACUUCUAAAGAUGUACUCUGACCUGAUUGAUCCUUUGGUUUGCAUACAUGAUGUGGAAGCCCAAAGAUGUAUUUGCAUUCUCUGAAAGAGUCUCUACUCUUGUACAUCCUCUCCUUCAAUUAUUGAUAUUGAAAGUGAGGAUGACCGGCAUUGCACACUUGCUUCUCCUUCUCCAUUUCCGCUAUUGUCCAGUGAGUUUGGGAUUCAUCUAAGUUCCCCUAAUAAAUUGAAUGCAAAUGAUGGUUCAUUCAAGCUCUCAGGAUACAUUUCAGGUCCUGAUGUGUACAAUGUGAAGGUAUACAUGCCUAUAUUGAUGGAUAAGAGGUGUGUACAUCUAUACAAAUUCAACAAAUAUAUGUAUGUACUAAAUGUAACACUAGUUGUUGGUGAGAGCAACUCUCUCUCUCUCUUAAAACACACUUUUGUAUUCACGUAAAGCUAAAGUAACUCAAUGUGUGUAGAAUGUAAAGAAAUCUAACUGAUGGUUCACUCAACUUCAAUUGUUGAGAUGAUUAAAUUUGUAUGU